rnacentral:tRNA from 1 species
GGAGGCGUUCCUCGUCUGGUGACGGGCACGGUCUUCAACACCGAUGUGGCCGAGUAUCUCGGUCAGGCGGGUUCGAUUCCCGUCCGCCUCCGCCA